CAGCCAUCACGGAAGAUAUUUAAUUAUUAGAAGAAAUUAGUAGAAAAUAGUAAUCAAUUUUACUGUAGCUCAGAGUAUCAUGCAUUUGGAGUAUUAUUAUAAAUAUUUUUGUUUUUAAUUACUAUUUUAGUGUAAAAUAAUUUUUACAGUAAUGAUUUCUUAAAUCAGGAUAUCGAUUACGUGUUACGUAAUUUUUGCAUAACAGAUGCAUAACAUAUAGCUGAGUGUGCUGAAAUUAAGUAUGAUUUGAAAACAUUAAUGAAACGUUAAAAAAUAUUGUUAAGUUAUCCAGAAUAAAUAAAAUGGCUAACUUUAUAAUACCGAUGCAUUUAUUUGCGUAUAUUAGUGGCUAUUUAAAUAGAUAUCGACUACCUUUGCCUCUAAUUAUGUCACCACAGUAAUUUAAAAGUACAGAACAGUGGCUCUCACAAUAAAACUGUUGAAUCCUAAUCGUAUUUAAAAUAAAAAGAAAUUUAAUUUGCACCCUUUUCUUACUAAUAAAACAAUAUUGCAUAAUCUAUAAAUGAUUUAAAUUAUUAAGCUU